CAUCAGCUACGUCUUAUGUGGGGAUGAACCGAGUGAUAGGAAAAUAUUUUUUUGAAUGCAAUGGGAAGGCGAAAAACGACACGCCUUGGUGAAGCAACUCUGAGAUUCGGAAACAAGGACUCCUAUUUGUCUGUAGAGCAUGUGGAGCUGUUGGGCAAGCAGAGUUCUAUCUGGGUAUUCAGGUAGCUGAGGAUAACAGGGAAAAGGAAAAUCUCCAGGCUAUCAUGCAUACCAUGCACCUCUAAGGCUCGUGCUGUGAGCGUACUUUGGGGGAGGAGUACCACCCAUGGAUUGAUCCUUCGCUGGCAGGGCCGGGGCCAGGCCGGCGGUCAUGUCUUUCGGGUUGGCGGCGAGGGAGGAGCAGCAAGGCAAGCUCACGUUACCCAAGUAGCAGGCCUCUUGUGUCCUGAGUCCUGAUGCCACGGGUAGCUGGAGCUGAUGUUGCCCUUGGUUUAUGCACGA